rnacentral:rRNA from 1 species
UACGUAGGGCGCAAGCGUUGUCCGGAUUUAUUGGGCGUAAAGGGCUCGUAGGCGGUCUGUCACGUCGGAUGUGAAAACUCAGUGCUUAACACUGGGCCUGCAUUCGAUACGGGCAGACUAGAGUUCGGUAGGGGAGACUGGAACUCCUGGUGUAGCGGUGGAAUGCGCAGAUAUCAGGAAGAACACCGGUGGCGAAGGCGGUUCUCUGGACCUUUCCUGACGCUGAGAAGCGAAAGCGUGGGGAGCAAACAGG